UGUAUCCUUGGAGUCCUAGAUUGU
rnacentral:siRNA from 1 species